UACAUUUAUUAAUAAAUGUUGCAUUAGGGUUCUGAACUUAAAGCUGACUAUGGACCCUUGCUGCACACACUGGCUGAAUUUGGAUGGUACCUUACAUGUGUCAUACCUACCCCAAUAAUUAAAUAUAACAGUGAAGGAAAUCUGACUACAAAACAAAUUAUAUUUCUUCAAAGAUCAGCUAUUCCACAUGCACAAUCAGCUGUUCAGUCACCUGAGAAAAAGCCGAUGAGACACACAGUAAAUGAAGAGAGGAAUAACAAAUCCAGCAGAAGCAUUGGACAGAGGACUCCAGGAAGCUUUGAAAUUGGGCAACCAUCAAAUGAAUUACAUCUUUCCCCUUCCAAGCAGUACUGGAAUACAGACAGCAAUCAGCAUUUUGGAAGUUUUUCUGGAUUCAGCAGCAAUGAUAGUAUGCUAAGAGAACUGGAUGAUGUACAGUAUGAACAAGAAGAAGCCGUGACCCAAGUCACCUGCAUGUAAAUACAUGCCUUUAAAUCCAAUUCUUUCUAUACCAUCUACUACCACAACAAAGGAUUGGUAUAUUUAAAGAAAUCACAUAUAAAACCAUUUCCCCAGAAGUCAGAAGAUCUUUUGUUAAUUCAGCUCUUUAACUUACCUUAGAUAUUGAUAUAGAAUUGCCUUAUGUCAUCCGAAGUUUGAAAAGAGGCUUGCUGGAGAGGCACCUGCAUUGUAAAGUUUAUGGGUUGGGGAGAGGAGCACCUAUUUAGUCUUACAGGAGUGUUUGUUAAGUCUAAUAUUUUAUUCACUGCCAGCCCCUCUAUUAGAGGCACCACACUAUGCAAGUCCUUUGUAAAAACGAGCAUUCUAAAUACCUCUUUAGAGCAGUCUUCAGGCCAGUGACAUGACUCGCAGCUGCUUUACAGCUCCAAUACAUUGCUUCUCCGGGAGGGGCAGUGAUCUCCCUCUGACAUCAGCUGGGGAGAUAAUGUGACCUCCCGCAGAAGCAAUGUAUCGAGUCAUGUGACCAGCCUGAAGACAGCUCUAAAGAGGUAUUUAGAACACUCGUUUUUACAAAGGACUUGCAUAGUGCAAGGUAUGCCAGCCUCUAAUAGAGGGGCUGGCAGUGACCAAUGUGGGUUUUUUAUUUUUAAUAGUAGCGGUGGGGCGGAGACAGACACAGAGAGGGCGCUGACAGGCAGGAAGGAGGGCGUGAGGGGGAGAGAGGAGAGCAGAGAGAACAGCUUUGUAUGACGGAGGGAUGUACUCUGACCACGGUGGCCAGGGCUGAGCAGUCCCAGGUUAUCAUGGUCAGUAUAGAGAGGGCAUACAGGAAGUGGCAGGUUCAGGGAGGUUUUUUUUUACGGUUUAGAGGGGGGCACAUUGCACAAGCAUAGUGUGUAAUCUGCUUUGAGGGACCAGAAUCUGAUUUUUUUUUGGGGGGGGGGGGGGUUAACAAACACUUUAAGAGCAUGCAUAAGGUUUUCUAGCUGCCAUGCAAAAAGGACACAGGGUUCUGGCACAUCCUAUAGAACUAUAGACCCAGAAGAGGUGUUUUUACCUUCCUCCUUUUGUAGAGCCGCAUAGUAAUUUGGGGAGGGUGGAUCACACAUCUAGAAGUGAAUAUAAAAAGUAGUGCUGAGCUGUUGAUAAAAUUAUAUGCAAAAGUAUAAAAUUUAUGCUUGUGCGUUUUUCUACUUUUGCAUAUAAUUUUAUCAACAGCUCAGCACUACUUUUUAUAUUCAUGCACACUCAGGUCUUGGUUUGACCUUUCAGUGUUUUGUAGCAGUUCAUUCAUACUUAACCCCUUCACAGCUGUCAUUCAGCUGUUCCACAGUAGCACAUGAAUAUUCAUUACAUUUACACAUCUAGAAGUAUUACAAACCUUGCAUAUGAAAAUAGCAAAUGCAUCUAAGAGGAUACAUCAUGCUUCCAAGUGCUGCAACCGAAAUACAGUACCUAUAUUUCUACUAUCUGCAUUUAUGGAAAUAGUAAAAGUGGGUUUUAUAGUAUAUAGGAUACACAUUUCACCAUUGUAUAUAUGAUCAUGGAGAAAUAUAGAGCAUUCUUCUGCACAUAUGCUCUAUGUACAUUACAGCCUAAACUUAAAGUGGCACAGAACACAAAUAGUGCAGUUUUAAAGGAACAUUUAGAAAUUUCAAUUGUGCCUAAACGGUACCCUAAACAAAGUACCUCUUGAAUUCCUCAUGAAAAAUAACAGUGCAUUUCCUGGUGAGGAUGCCUAGGCACUCCUGUACAUACAGCCUCAUAGCUCUAUAAAUGCAGUGUUAGAUCCAAGGCACUGCUGCAUCUGACAGGUAGUCUCAGGAGAUUCUGUGAUGUCACUACUGUGCUGUUCUCUAUUCUUCUUGCUGGAUGUUCUAAAAUGAGAAAGAAAAACUUGUGCCUUUAUCACAAAAUGGCCACCUCCACAUCGAAACACAGUACAUAACAAGGCUUUGUAAGUGCCUUUCCCAGUGCCUCUUUACUGCCAUGUCUCUUAUUUUACAAACCAUUUGGCAUACAAUUCCCAUAUUUUUAGAGUUUAUUUUUUUUAGGUGCUCAUAAUGUGUACAUAAUUUCAUAAACAAUAAGCAUGAAAGCAAUUUCAGACAUCUUAUAUCGAUGUACUUAAACAGGUGUCAAAAGCAGAUGCUUCUCUUUGACUAAGGCAACAUAAUUAACUGAAUUAUAUAUACUGUAUAAAUAUUUUAACUUGAUUCAACAUUUAAGCAAGUAUUUAUAAUGCUUCUGGAUGAAGCAAAAAGGAAUGAAGGACAAAAUAAGUAUUUUUAAUAAAAAAAGGCUCAGGACUUGGACUCAGACUGAACUAUCUGGAACUUUGGAUCAUGUAAUCAAGUUGCCAACAUGUAUAGACUGCUUGGCACGUGAGAUGCAGAAAAAGGUUGCUACCCAAUUAAGUGAAUGAAAGUUUGUUUGUUUAUUACACCUUUACUGACAUGUAAUGCAAAAAGGCAUCUCAUCACUGGUCACAUGUGGUGUGCAGAUCCCUGUGUUUACAGUUAAUGGGAAAAGUGACCAAUUUCACCUAUCUGAAACUGGAAGAGGAGUAUUGUGUGAAUGAGACUAGACAUUGGCAUACUGUACUACUAAUACUCAGUCUAAUUCAUAAAUAAAACAAUGGGUAGUAGCA